AAAUAGAAACAAAAAUAAUGUUCCCUGUGCCAAAUGGCUGCUGACCUCAGAGAAUUAACCUUAUCUCAGUUUUGACAAGUCAGUAACUUUUAUUUUUUGGUUUUAGUUCCUAUGACAGACAAGGAAUCCUUAGCCACAUCAUCUGCUCUUGUCUAGCAUUUCCAUUGUCAUACUUACAAAGCAAAGCUCAAGACAAGCUGUGAGCAGAGUAGCUCAACAACCAAGGUUUUCUUGGAGCAAGGACACAUCUAACAGAACCACAAAACAAUAGAUUGCUUCAGCAGUCAGAGUGCAGAUGCCUUUGAAGAAGUCUGUGGGUGAGAUCAUUGGAGGGCACAACUUCUGAAAACCAAUGAAGAAGAACAGCCACUCUGCUAUAGCCAACAUGAGAAUCUCUUCACUGCAAAGUCCUGUCAGUUUUAUUUAAUCUGAUAGAAGCAUUACCAAGAGCUCAGUUUUGGAGAACGUAUCUGAUAUAAAUAGUAUUUUAUUCCCUGUAGGACAAUCUGUAGCAUCAUUUGCAAAAGAAAUAAGAGCUCAUGGACUUGAUCCAUCAGUGCUCACUACACAGCAAGCUGCUUGAACCC
ensembl:lncRNA